rnacentral:rRNA from 1 species
CGGAUACCCGUAGACUUGCAUGUCGUACCGGGUAGCCGUAACCUGGCUCAUGUAAGUCUUAGUGGGGAACGGGAGAGUUUAGUCUGGGAAACUGCCUGAUGGAGGGGGAUAACUACUGGAAACGGUAGCUAAUACCGCAUAACGUCGCAAGACCAAAGAGGGGGACCUUCGGGCCUCUUGCCAUCGGAUGUGCCCAGAUGGGAUUAGCUAGUAGGUGGGGUAACGGCUCACCUAGGCGACGAUCCCUAGCUGGUCUGAGAGGAUGACCAGCCACACUGGAACUGAGACACGGUCCAGACUCCUACGGGAGGCAGCAGUGGGGAAUAUUGCACAAUGGGCGCAAGCCUGAUGCAGCCAUGCCGCGUGUAUGAAGAAGGCCUUCGGGUUGUAAAGUACUUUCAGCGGGGAGGAAGGGAGUAAAGUUAAUACCUUUGCUCAUUGACGUUACCCGCAGAAGAAGCACCGGCUAACUCCGUGCCAGCAGCCGCGGUAAUACGGAGGGUGCAAGCGUUAAUCGGAAUUACUGGGCGUAAAGCGCACGCAGGCGGUUUGUUAAGUCAGAUGUGAAAUCCCCGGGCUCACCUGGGAACUGCAUCUGAUACUGGCAAGCUUGAGUCUCGUAGA